rnacentral:lncRNA from 1 species
AGAACAGAGGUGGUAGUGGUCAACUCCAGCUGGGUCCAGCUUUGGGGACUUUCCUCCCUCCCUAGAGAGCAUACACUGAAGGGUGUCACCUCCCCCCUACUGACCUGUGCAGGUUCAGGGGUUCUUGGUCCCUAUACAUAUUCUUGCACCUGAUGUACUUACUUCAACAGACUGAAUUCUGGGCUAAAUGGAGUUUCACGAAAGCACGCCCUGUCCUGGAAGUGCCCAUCCUGUGGGAGGCACAAGCAGGGGAAAGAAGGAAGAGGAGGAACGUAAGCCGGGUUCCCCAUCAGGAUCAGGGCACUGCUGUCGACGCCAGGCGCUCUUUAGAAACGUCUCAGCCAUUCUUACUUCCCGGCCUGCUCUAAUUGGGCUUUUUCACUGCUUUACCUCUGUGUCCCAUCUGAAUUCCCGUUUGAAAGCAGAAGAAUGGAGACAGCUGACAGGGUCGAGACCGGAGGAAACCAGAGACCUCCCCAUAGCACACAGGCUGGUACGCCACCUUCCCGUGGUUCUGGGGUGGGGGGUGGAUUUCUUUCUAACAUCAAAACCUCUAACUCUGCCUGACAGAGGACAACGCCCAUGAAGAGAAGGGUGGGACUGCCCAGUUCCAGCCUAACAAAGGAGGGAUUUAAUGCGUUGCAAGGCAACAAGAAAAAAAAAAA